AUUGAACGUUGGCGGAAUGCUUUACACAUGCAAGUCGAACGGCAGCACGGGGGCAACCCUGGUGGCGAGUGGCGAACGGGUGAGUAAUACAUCGGAACGUGCCCAGUCGUGGGGGAUAACUACGCGAAAGCGUAGCUAAUACCGCAUACGAUCUACGGAUGAAAGCGGGGGAUCGCAAGACCUCGCGCGAUUGGAGCGGCCGAUGGCAGAUUAGGUAGUUGGUGGGGUGAAGGCCUACCAAGCCGACGAUCUGUAGCUGGUCUGAGAGGACGACCAGCCACACUGGGACUGAGACACGGCCCAGACUCCUACGGGAGGCAGCAGUGGGGAAUUUUGGACAAUGGGCGCAAGCCUGAUCCAGCCAUUCCGCGUGCAGGAUGAAGGCCCUCGGGUUGUAAACUGCUUUUGUACGGAACGAAGCGCGCUGGGUUAAUACCCCGGCGUAAUGACGGUACCGUAAGAAUAAGCACCGGCUAACUACGUGCCAGCAGCCGCGGUAACAC
rnacentral:rRNA from 1 species